GUUCAAUCUUGGCCUUUUGGCUAAGAUCAAGUGUUGUAUCUGUUUUUAUCAGUUUAAUAUCAAGUUCUUGGCUAAUUUGUCAAAGAGUAAUUGACUGUAUAGUUGGGGAGGUUAUCAAUGAAUAGUCUAUUCUGUCACAUUGGUCUCAAAAUCUGUCUUUGUUCCAAUACGAGGCUGUUUUGAUCACUA